rnacentral:rRNA from 1 species
UUUUAAAUGAUUAGUGUGCAACGGUAGAGUAAACUCGUGAAUUAACCUGCCCUAAGAGUGGGGGACACACCAGUUAGAAAAAGAUUUGUUAAUUCCGCAUAAAGCCCCACAGGUUCCGCAUGGUACUGAGGGGAAAAGGAUUUGUUUCGUUUAUGGAUGGACUCGCGUCCAAAUUAGCUAGUUUGUGAGGUAACGGCCCCACCCAAGGCGACGAUUUGUUACCCGGAUGGAGAGGGUUGAACGGCCACAUUGGGACUGAGACACGGCCCAGACUCCUACGGGAGGCAGCAGUGGGGGAUUUUGCACAAUGGGGGAAAACCCUGAUGCAGCGACGCCGCGUGGAGGAAGAAGGUUUUCGGAUUGUAAACUCCUGUCGUUAGGGACGAUAAUGACGGUACCUAACAAGAAAGCACCGGCUAACUACGUGCCAGCAGCCGCGGUAAAACGUAGGGUGCAAGCGUUGUCCGGAAUUACUGGGUGUAAAGGGAGCGCAGGCGGGAAGACAAGUUGGAAGUGAAAACCAUGGGCUCAACCCAUGAAUUGCUUUCAAAACUGUUUUUCUUGAGUAGUGCAGAGGUAGAUGGAAUUCCCGGUGUAGCGGUGGAAUGCGUAGAUAUAUGGAAGAACACCAGUGGCGAAGGCGGCUCUCUGGUCUGCAACUGACGCUGAGGCUCGAAAGCAUGGGUAGCGAACAGGAUUAGAUACCCUGGUAGUCCAUGCCGUAAACGAUGAGUGCUAAGUGUUGGGAGGUUUCCGCCUCUCAGUGCUGCAGCUAACGCAUUAAG